UUAAGUAUUUGGAGCGUUACUGAGAUUCGUUGACCUUCUUGAUCAGCUUUAAGGAUUAGGUGUACUCAAUAGAUCGAGUUGCAAUCUGAUUAUUAUCAGCUUGUGUUAAAGUUUGAGGUUAUGCCUUAAACGAAUUUUGAUGAGGGGCUGGGUGUAAGGAAGUGAAUUCUCGAAAUCCGAGAGUUGAACUUCGAUUUGAAUCGACCAGUUGUCGAUUGGGUAUG
rnacentral:lncRNA from 1 species